CUACGGGAGGCAGCAGUGGGGAAUAUUGGACAAUGGGGGAAAUCCUGAUCCAGCCAUGCCGCGUGAGUGAUGAAGGCCUUAGGGUUGUAAAGCUCUUUCGGCGGGGACGAUGAUGACGGUACCCGCAGAAGAAGCCCCGGCUAACUUCGUGCCAGCAGCCGCGGUAAUACGAAGGGGGCUAGCGUUGUCCGGAAUUACUGGGCGUAAAGCGCGCGUAGGCGGCCUAGCAAGUCGGGUGUGAAAGCCCGGGGCUCAACCCCGGAACUGCGCCUGAUACUGCUAAGCUCGAGACCGGAAGAGGAGAGCGGAAUUCCCAGUGUAGAGGUGAAAUUCGUAGAUAUUGGGAAGAACACCAGUGGCGAAGGCGGCUCUCUGGUCCGGUUCUGACGCUGAGGCGCGAAAGCGUGGGGAGCAAACAGGAUUAGAAACCCCAGUAGUCC
rnacentral:rRNA from 1 species